GACGAACGCUGGCGGCGUGCUUAACACAUGCAAGUCGAACGGAAAGGCCCUGCUUGCAGGGUACUCGAGUGGCGAACGGGUGAGUAACACGUGGGUGAUCUGCCCUGCACUUCGGGAUAAGCCUGGGAAACUGGGUCUACUACCGGAUAGGAGCCAUUUUUAGUGUGAUGGUUGGAAAGUUUUUUCGGUGUAGGAUGAGCUCGCGGCCUAUCAGCUUGUUGGUGGGGUAAUGGCCUACCAAGGCGGCGACGGGUAGCCGGCCUGAGAGGGUGGACGGCCACAAUGGGACUGAGGGACGGCCCAGACUCCUACGGGAGGCAGCAGGGGGGAAGAUUGCACGAUGGGCGCAAGCCGGAUGCAGAGACGCCGCGUGGGGGAUGACGGCCUUCGGGUUGUAAAAUCAUUUCGCUAGGGACGAAGCUUUUUGUGACGGUACCUAGAUAAGAAGCACCGGCUAACUACGUG
rnacentral:rRNA from 1 species